UAUAUUUGUUCAUAAUGUGUGGUUAGGCAUGCAUGUAAACAAUUUCGUACACAGCACAGGUGCAACGUGGAUGUUUCCAAUGAAUGAAUCUAGAUCUAUGUCUAUGUGUAUGUGCAUAGCCAGGCAGGCAGCUGACAAGUACAGUGUACAAAAGUCAGAGCUGAAGUGAAUUUACACAGGUGGCACCAAGGAAAAGGACCAAAAAUGGGGUUGCUUGAGAAGAUUAAAGAAAAUUGGUUUCUGAUGGGGAUCAUUGUUGUCAUCCUUGCUGCCAGAGCAGAGCCAUCCAUCGGGCAGAAAGGCGGUCCUCUUAUUCCAGAGAUAACAGUCAAGUACCUGGCAGUGUCCAUCAUUUUUUUCAACAGUGGUCUUUCUCUUAAAACAGAGGACCUCAAGAGUGCUUUACUUCAUGUCAAACUACACUGCUUUGUUCAGCUCUUCACACUAACGUUUGUUCCGUGCUUCGUUUGGGUUCUUAUUAAAUUUCUAUCAGCAACAGACAUUGAUGGCUGGCUUCUAAAGGGGUUACAGGUAGUAGGAUGCAUGCCACCACCGGUAUCAUCAGCUGUCAUCCUUACUAAGGCUGUAGGAGGAAAUGAGGCAGCAGCUAUUUUCAAUUCAGCAUUUGGCAGUUUCCUGGGCAUCAUUGUAACUCCUCUCUUACUGCUUGUUUUUAUGGGAUCAUCGUCAUCGGUGCCUUUUAGUUCUAUACUAAGUCAGCUUUCAAUGACUGUAGUAGUGCCUGUCAUAGCUGGUCAGAUUGUACGACAGUUCAUCAAGGAAUGGUUAGAGAGGACCAAGCCUCCAUUCGGUCAGAUGGGCAAAGGAGUUCUACUACUCAUCAUCUUCUGUACAUUCUGUGAUACCUUCUCAAACCCUUCACUCCAAAUCAACCAUUACAGCCUCAUUGCAAUAGGGGUUGUAGUGUUAAUGUUGCAGAUGUUUUUACUUCUCCUGACAUUCCUUGCUUCACAACUAUCCUUCUUUGGCUUCAGCCCGGCCGACACUGUAGCAAUCAUGUUCUGUUCAACGCAUAAAUCAUUAACCCUCGGUAUACCCAUGUUGAAGAUAGUAUUUGCUGGUUAUGAUCACCUCUCCCUCAUCUCCAUCCCUCUCCUAGUCUACCACCCCACCCAGAUCCUCUUGGGCGGGGUACUGGUAGAGUAUGUUAGGAAUUGGAUGCUGACAGCUCAAAAAACAAGGAGCCAAACAACUGUUUAACAUUCAUUCAUUCCAUUCUGGCUACAAGUGUUUCUGAUUCUAACCUCUUUUGGGGAAUAAAGAAGGAGGAGGUCUCAGUAGCAUUACCUCAACAGAAGCUUAAACCACACCCAGGACCAGGAUCCAGACUAAAUAGAACAGGAACUAAAGAUGGAGGAGGUCUAAGUAGUGUUUCAUCAUCAGAUGGUCCAACCACGAAUAGACCAGGAUCUAGACCAAAUAGAACGGGAACUAAAGUUGGAGGAGGUCUAAGUAGUGUUUCAUCAUCAGAUGGUCCAACCACAAAUAGACCAGGAUCUAGACCAAAUAGACCAGGAACUGAAGAUGGAGGAAGUCUUAGUAUGAAAGCAGGACCAGUAAUUUACUGUUAUUUCUGACUGUGAAAAUUACCAUUCAAGAUUGCAUUUAUGUGUGUGCUGAAGGACUAUCAGGCUGAAACAUGAACAUUCAUAUUCCUUUGACUUUCUAUCUCUUGACAUACUGAAAAGCAGAAAAAACUUUCACCAACUAUAAAUGAAAACCAUUUCUGUGGCAAGAAUCUCUGGCAAAUUGCAAAAUAAUAGUGUUAUGUCUACUGCAGUUCAAUUAUUGUCUCACACAAUUCCAAGCGUGUACAUUGUUCUGAUUUUUUCACCUUCUGCAAUAGACCUACCACCAUAACUAGAUUUCUUGUAGUUCUUGGGACCAUUUCAAGAUUCCAUUUUAAAAGUGUUUUUAUUUUUUAGUCAUAGUUGAAUAGAAUUGGCCAUUUCUACCCAAUCAAAUUCUACCUCAACUGUGUAGAUGUGUAGAUUAUGUUGUUCAAUUCUGGAGAGAGAUUUGUGUAUUUAAAAAAAAUGUAUAUCGCCUUGAGUAAGUUAUUAGAUAAGUGCGCUUUUUAAGUAGUAUUAUUAUUAUUGUAGACUUCCUCAGAUAAUAUCGUCUGUUGAGAGACAGAAGGAAACUAAGCUAUCUUCUCACCAAGAAGUAAAACCCUUCCUGCUCUCAACAGGUAAUAUUUACUUUAUAGAAUUCUUUUGUUGGUGUCAUAUUUAGUAAGAAGUAGAUAUGAAGAGAGUUGUAUGAUAACUGUUUAUUCUCUAUAAUUCAUAAGUUAUCAUUCCUAUGGCAGAUUUCACAUGAAUCUUGUUUUAUUUUGUAUUUCUAAGUGAUGUCGGGAUAUGAAUUGCAGGAUAAGUUUGCAAUGUGCCAACACUGACCACAUAGACCAGUCUGUAUGAAAUGAUUACAAUGCUCUUCUUCACGAAAAUAAAAUCACUUUUGUCUGUAAUGUUUUUACUUUUAAGUCAUUUGAAUUGAUAUUUUCAUGAAACUUUCUUUUUGAAUGGUAUGGGGUAUGAAGACAAGGAACUCUAUGUGGAAGUGGAAAACUUAUGGAAAUAAGAAGUAUAUAGUGUCUUAUUUUUCUAAAUGUGCAAGAUAUCUUAUGUGCAUUAAUUCCUGCAAUGUAUUUUAAUAUUGUAUCUCUUAUACACAGUAUGGUGAUAUGGGGCAAGGAUGAUGGUUUACUUUAGAAUCAAUGGAAGAGACAAUCUGAUUAUGUUCUUUUAUAUAUAUUAUGAGCUCAUUGACAAAGACAGCACUGCACACUGAUUACCUGUAUUUUUAAAUAAUACUCAAUUUGGUGGAAUAUUGCAUUAACUGUUGUUAUUAUUCUUAAAAUUUACAUACAUGAAGAGAACACAACAAUUAUGGACAUUGAUGGAGUGUCUGAUCAGUUACAAUAAAGAAUGGUUUAUCAUCUAUUUCUCUUCUAAUGCAGUUUCCAGAUUGCUUUCAAGUGAGACAUUAUAAAUGACUGCUCUGGGACUUUCAAA